rnacentral:rRNA from 1 species
CCUACGGGGAGGCAGCAGGUAGGAAUCUUCGGCAGUGGGCGCAAGCCUGACCGAGCGACACUGCAUGAGGGAUGCCGGCCUUGGGUAUGUAAACUUCUGAACCAGGGACGAUAAUGACGGUACCUGGAUAAUAGCACCGGCUAACUCCGUGCCAGCAGCCGNGGUAAUACGGAGGGUGCAAGCGUUAUCCGGAAUCAGUGGGNGUAAAGGGCGUGUAGGCGGUCCGUUAAGUCCGAUGUUAAAGCCCGGGGCUCAACCCCGGCAUGGCGUUGGAUACUGGCAGGCUAGACGACUGGAGAGGAAAGUAGAAUUACCAGUGUAGCGGUGAAAUGCGUAGAUGCUGGUAGGAAUACCCAUUGUAGAGGGCUUUUUGGACAGUUUGUGACGCUGAGACGCGAAAGAGUGUGGGGAACAAACGAUAAUAUACCCCGGUAGUCCACACCCAAAAAAGAUACAUAUUGUGUGUNGGCUCGUUGGGGUCGGUGCCGGA